AGAGUUUGAUCCUGGCUCAGGAUGAACGCUAGCGGGAGGCCUAACACAUGCAAGCCGAGCGGUAGAGAUUCUUCGGAAUCUUGAGAGCGGCGUACGGGUGCGGAACACGUGUGCAACCUGCCUUUAUCUGGGGGAUAGCCUUUCGAAAGGAAGAUUAAUACCCCAUAAUAUACUGGAUGGCAUCAUUCGGUAUUGAAAACUCCGGUGGAUAGAGAUGGGCACGCGCAAGAUUAGAUAGUUGGUGAGGUAACGGCUCACCAAGUCUGCGAUCUUUAGGGGGCCUGAGAGGGUGAUCCCCCACACUGGUACUGAGACACGGACCAGACUCCUACGGGAGGCAGCAGUGAGGAAUAUUGGACAAUGGGUGAGAGCCUGAUCCAGCCAUCCCGCGUGAAGGACGACGGCCCUAUGGGUUGUAAACUUCUUUUGUAUAGGGAUAAACCUACUCUCGUGAGAGUAGCUGAA
rnacentral:rRNA from 1 species